rnacentral:rRNA from 1 species
GAGUUUGAUCGUGGCUCAGGACGAACGCUGGCGGCGUGCUUAACACAUGCAAGUGGAGCGACGAACCAGGGCUUGCCCUGGGGCAGAGCCGCGAACGGGGUAAGUAACACGUGGGUAACGUGCCCCGAUGACUGGGACAACCCGGGGAAACCCGGGCUAAUACCGGAUAUGCCCCCCGACAUCUGUCGGGUGUGUAAAGGAAGCUUCGGCCUCCGCAUCGGGAUCGGCCCGCGGCGCAUUAGCUUGUUGGUGAGGUAACGGCUCACCAAGGCUGCGAUGCGUAGCUGGUCUGAGAGGACGAUCAGCCACACUGGGACUGAGACACGGCCCAGACUCCUACGGGAGGCAGCAGUGGGGGAGUCUUGCACAAUGCGCGAAAGCGUGAUGCAGCAACGCCGCGUGCGGGAAGACGGCCUCGGUUGUAA